CCUCCUUGCAAAAACCCUCAGCUCUUGGGACCUCUCCCUGCGCUUCCGAAGCCCUUUCAGAUAUUUUCCUGUAGCCCUCACAAAGAGCUUGGGGUUGCGGUUUCUGCCGCUGUUGACUCUCACGUGGGGUUGUCAUGUCAGGGAAACAUGGAAAGGAAGGGAGGUGAAAAGAGACAAUAGGAAAACCGUAGGCUGUGACGGGAAAAAAUGAAACAGAUGAGUGAGAAGAAAAGUCCAAGAGCCAGGAUGACGGCGCAGUGAUGGCUCACUUUGCGUUGCUGUUCCGUCCACUGUUCCACUGACUGUGAACUCUGUCAGAGGUGACAGGUCUUGUUUAUCUUUAGAGGCAUCCCGGUGGGUUACCCUCAGGACCUGAUGCACAGUUGGCAUCAGAAACUGUUUGCUGAAUGACUGAAAGAGCGUUCUCCUCUUAGUUUGAAACCUAUAGCUAGAUGUACUUGGGGAGCAU
rnacentral:lncRNA from 10 species